rnacentral:rRNA from 1 species
UACGGAGGGUGCGAGCGUUGUCCGGAAUCACUGGGCGUAAAGGGCGCGUAGGCGGCGCGGAAAGUCAACGGUGAAAGCUUGGGGCUCAACCCCGAGUCGGCCGUCGAUACUUCCGUGCUCGAGCACUGUAGAGGCAGGUGGAAUUCCUGGUGUAGCGGUGAAAUGCGCAGAUAUCAGGAGGAACACCAAUGGCGAAGGCAGCUCGCUGGGACGGUACUGACGCUGAGACGCGAAAGCGUGGGGAGCAAACGGG